GCCGGGAUGAUGAAAUUGGUAAACAUGCACGACUCAAAAUCGUGUGCCGCAAGGCUUGAGGGUUCAAGUCCCUCUCCCGGCA
rnacentral:tRNA from 1 species